rnacentral:rRNA from 1 species
GAUGAACGCUGGCGGCGUGCCUAAUACAUGCAAGUCGAGCGAACAGACGCGGCUCUUGCUCCUCUGACGUUAGCGGCGGGCGGGAGAGUAACACGUGUAUAACCUACCUAUCAGACUGAGAUCACUUCGGGAAACCGGCGCUUAUCCCGGAUAAUAUAUUGAAGCGCAUGGGUCGUUGGUGAAAUACGGCUGUUCUGUCACUACUAGAUGGAUCUGAGCCGCUUUAGGUGGUUGUGAAGGUAACGGCUUACCAAGGCAACGAGGCGUAGCCGACGUGAUAGGGUGAUCGGCGACACUGGAACUGAGACGCGGUCCAGACUACUACGGGACGGAGCAGUAGGGAACCUUCCGCAAUGGUCGAGAACAUGACGGAGCGACGCCGCGUGAGAGAUGAAAGUCUUCGGAGCGUAAAACUCUGUUAUGAGGUAAGAACAAAUGUGUAAGGAACUGUGCACGUCUUGACGGUACCGAAUCAGAAAGCCACGGCUAACUACGUG